rnacentral:tRNA from 1 species
GACCGCGUAGCUCAGCUGGUAGAGCAACUGACUUUUAAUCAGUAGGUCGUGGGUUCGAAUCCCACCGCGGUCACCA